UAAUAAUAAUAAUAUAUUGAACAUAUACCUUUUACUUAAAGAAAUAAAGCUACCAAGUACCAACAGAGUUGUGUAAGCACACUAGAUUUGUCUGACAGCAAUCUUACAAGCCCCCAGUAAUAGAGAAUUAUUUGACCAUUCAUGUAUUAGUGAUUAAAACCCUGGUAAGAGGGGAAAAAAAACAACCAAACAAAGAUCACAGAGAGUAAACAUG
rnacentral:misc_RNA from 1 species